rnacentral:misc_RNA from 1 species
CUCUCUAUCUCUCACCAUAUUCGCGAUUAAAAACUCUCAACUUUUCUCUCAAAUUUCUGAUCCUUUGAUCCAACAGUUAGAAGA